rnacentral:rRNA from 1 species
AUUGAACGCUGGCGGCAUGCUUUACACAUGCAAGUCGGACGGCAGCACAGAGAAGCUUGCUUCUUGGGUGGCGAGUGGCGAACGGGUGAGUAAUAUAUCGGAACGUACCGAGUAAUGGGGGAUAACUAAUCGAAAGAUUAGCUAAUACCGCAUAUUCUCUGAGGAGGAAGGCAGGGGACCUUCGGGCCUUGCGUUAUUCGAGCGGCCGAUAUCUGAUUAGCUAGUUGGUGGGGUAAAGGCCUACCAAGGCGACGAUCAGUAGCGGGUCUGAGAGGAUGAUCCGCCACACUGGGACUGAGACACGGCCCAGACUCCUACGGGAGGCAGCAGUGGGGAAUUUUGGACAAUGGGCGCAAGCCUGAUCCAGCCAUGCCGCGUGUCUGAAGAAGGCCUUCGGGUUGUAAAGGACUUUUGUCAGGGAAGAAAAGGCUGUUGCUAAUACCGACAGCUGAGGACGGUACCUGAAGAAUAAGCACCGGCUAACUACGU